rnacentral:lncRNA from 1 species
CAAAGGACGGAACAAAGGAACUAUAAAACAAAAACCAAUGAACAAAAACGGCAAUAGUAAGUUAUUCCUAACAAUUCAUGUAAUGUGAAUGGAUAAUAUUCUCCAAUUAAAAGACAUAGAAUGUUGAAUGGAUAAAAAUACAAGAUCAAAUUAUAUGCUGCCUACAAGAGAUUCAUUUUAGCUUUAAGGACAUAUAUAGGUUUUAAGUAAAGAGUAGAAACAAGAUAUUUCAUGCAAAUGGUAACCAGAAGAGAGAAUGGGGUGGCUACACUUUUCUAAGACAAAAUAGAUGCUGUGUCAAAAACUGUCAAAAGAGACAAACAAGGUCAUAAUAUAAUAAUAAGGUACCACAGCAAUAUAAAGGGUCAUAAGAGAUUACUAUGAACCAUUAAUGUGACAACAAGUUGGAUAACUUACAGGAAAUAAAUAAAUUACUAGAAACGUAAAACCUAAGAAGAGAAAAUCAUGAAGAAAUGAAAAAUUUGAAGAGCCAGUAAUGGGUAAGAAGAUUGAAUCUGAAAUUAAAAAGCUGCCAUCAAAGAAAAGUCUAGAACCUGAUGA